AUGGCAUUUUUACACAAUUUUAUUGAUCUUAUGCAAGUUGGAAUUGUAAAAAAAAGGCAAUUUAUAUGUGCAAAGGUGUGUGCGCUCAUAUUCACAUAUAUACAGGCACAUUUAUGCUUUAUGGUUGUAUGUAUGGUGGGGGGAUUGAUGAUGAGGAUGGGGGAAGGAAUUAGAUUGGAAUGGAAGUUGCAUGUGUGGAAGUUCCUGGAAGUGGCUUCUGCCAGGGAGGGACCACAUUCACCCAGUUAUGCUCAUAAAUGGUCAGGGGAGACGGUGAUGGACAGACUCAGCAAAAGCAAUAAAUUUGACCCCUGGGAAAACCACCUAAGACAUGCAGUGAGUCCCCCCUUUUGGAAAGUGUUUGGCAGUUGACAAGUGUGGUUUUUGGCAUUUGAUGAGGAAGCACAGAGUAAGAGCUCUCUUUAGUGAAUUUAACGUCAGUGUCCUGUACAUUACAAUUUCGUUGGGUUCUUUCUUUCUUUCUUUCUUUCUUUCUUUCUUUCUUUCUUUCUUUCUUUCUUUCUUUCUUUCUUUCUUUCUUUCUUCUUCUUCUUCUUCUUCUUCUUCUUCUUCUUCUUCUUCUUCUUUCUUUUUUUUUUUUUUUAUUUUUAUUUUUUUUAGAGAUUUUAUUUAUUAACUUGAGAGAGAGUAGAGCAAGAGAGAGAGAGAGAGGGCGAGAGCAGGAGUGAGGGGCAGAGGGAGAGGGAGAAGCAGACUCCCAGCUCAACAGAGAGCCUGACGCGGGGCUCCAUCCCAGGACCCUGAGAUCAUGACCUGAGCCGAAGGCAGACGCUUAACUGCCUGAGCCACCCAGGAGCCCCUCAUUGAAUGUUUCAAAUAUAUUCUGGGGCAUCCUAAAGUGGCAACAUACAGCGAGUCAUCUUAUUUUCUCUACCUAAUUGGAUUCAUUUCCCAUUUCAACGGACAGUUUAUUGGGCACCUAUUACACACUAGCUACUCUGGAGAGAUGAAAAAGACGAAUGAGAAUUGCACUCUAUAUGCAGCAAAUGUCUGUUCUUUAUCACACAAAGCAAUCCUUUCUCAGAUACUUCCAAAAGCUGGAAUUAUUUAAAAAAAUAGCUUGUCAUACAUAAAAUAAAGUAGCCCAAAUAUAUGAACUAAUUUUACUA
rnacentral:lncRNA from 1 species